GCUCUAUUGAAUUGAAAAACAGGAUUCAUUUCCGCUGUCAUUUUUUCGGCUCAACAAAUAACAGAUUCAAACUUUUCAAAACAGAAGAUGACUACCACUACUACGUCCUCUGGUUCAUCAACAAGCCAUGGAUGUCUUCAUGGAUUUUACAAGGAAGAUUACGACUCUGUAGUAUGCUUCAAAUAUGAGACGCACGACCCAAUACGUAUUUACUUUGCUUCAUUCACAGCUCAUUCGGCUUUCUUCCAAAUACCCAUCAACAUUCUGAUCAAUCUCCUGUGCUUAUACUGUAUAUUGUCCUUGCUCGUUGUGCAGGAGUUGAAAUCAAUUCAGUUUUUCC